UUCAGUCUAGAUUUUGAACUUGUGUUAGGCCCGGUAUCAUAUCUUUACCAUUACUUUAACAAUCGGUGGCUUGUGCAAAAUUUUCCCAAUCACAUGACGGGCGGCGGUAUUGAAUUUGGAGAGGUGAAGGGCAAACAGAAGAUUUACUCAACCACUUUCGCUUCAAUCGCUCUCCCUUUUCCCAUGCAUAUUAUUUUUCUUCUUCUAUAAACCCUACCUUUCGGCUUUUCUAUUCCGGAUUCCCUUGGAUGCUACACACUCUCCUAUUUCGUUGUCCUUAUAAGAGUUAGGGCUACCUGCUAGAUACCUACUUGCCUGUUUGUGUGGGACUCGCGGCCUUGGAAUGCUAUGCGAAGGGGAGUUGUUCCAAACCUUGCUCACAUUCAAACCAUGCAUCAAAUCAAUAAGUGAAGACCACACAUCUUUUUCAUAAGCUUUAUCGCUUCAUAAGUAUAUAUUAGUAUCUCAAUUUAUAAUUUAACUAGCAUUAUUUUGGUGCAUUUCACCAAGUUUGCCUGAGUCAUUCCGCUAUGGCAGAUGAUCAUCAUCAUCACUAAGCCCCAUCAUUCUCUUAGUGAUGUCAACGUCAGCAGAAGGUCCAUAUUGCCGGCAACAAGCCACAAAAUAAAGCAGAUUAAAAGCUGUCAAUACAGCAAGAAGCCAGUAGUAAUACUCAUAGUGUCCCUUGUUGAUAUUGCUUGAAACCCAACUUUCUGUUCCUUCUCCUUUGGUGUACUUAUCCACAGCACUCAAAAUCACACUUGCUAAAAGACUUGCCACUGCCAUUCCCAGUCCUAAAAGAGCAGAUGCAAUACUUGACAUACUCUUUGGGAGCUCUGAAUAAUAGAACUCUGUGGAACCGAUCGCACUGAAUGCCUCUGCUAUCCCGUUUAAACUGUUUGGUAUUAUGAGCCACAAUGCCGACAUCUCCACCAAACCCUGUGAAUUGUUCAAGAGCCCUUGAUUGAUUGCUUUUCUUCGUCGAACAUGUUCAACAAUUCCAGAGACUACCAUUGACAUGCAAGAGAUGAAUAUGCCAAUUCCCAUUCUGACUAUUGGUUUUAGACGAACUGGUCUUCCUCUGAUCUUCGAUGCCAAUGGAAGCAUCAUGCGGUCAUAGAAAAAAACCCAAAUUGUUAAAGCAAUCAUCAUAAACAUCCCAAAUGACCCAGCUGGAAUUUGGAAUCCUUUAUUUAGAUGCCUAUUCAUGGAUUGAGCUUGUAGUAGAGGGAAUGAACUUUGGCUCAAGUUUAUUGAUAUCAUGAUCCCCGUCGACCACAAUGGCAUGACUCUAACGAGGGAUUUUAGCUCCUCAACUUGCUCCACUGUGCAAAGGUUCCAUGGAUUGGCUGCACCUCCAUUUAGCUUAACAUCUUCAGGGCUUUUAAUGAUGCAAGCUUUGUUUAAGAAUCUCAAUUUAUCCGAUGGCGCUUGAGGUCCUGAACCACUCUUGUGAUGGUAAUCAGAGUUCUGAUUGGGGUAACGGAGUUUCCUAUUCUUGCAGGCAACGACAAGUACUUGUAUAAAGCUGGCAAAGACGUUCGAGCGAACCUUUGGCUUGAUAUAAAACGGAGAAGCAAGGAAGAAAAACAGCACGGAUAAGAACAUGAGGAUUGCAGGAACUCCAAAACCUAUUUUCCACCCGAAUCUGUCUUGAAGGUAAACAAUACCUGUCAGGGCAAUCAGAACAGAGACUAUGGAUGAAGUAUAAUACCAGGCAAAGAAGCUCUCCAACACCGUACGCUUGUUGGAAUUAUUAUCUCCCUUGUCAAACUGGUUAGCACCAAAAGCUAAAGAACACGGUCUUAUACCUCCUGCACCAAUUGACAUGAGCAGAAACGAGAAAACCAAGAGCAUGUAUUGUGAUGUCGUUGUAGAUUUACAAGCCUGUCCUGAUUGAUUGCAAGGCGGAGGCCUUGCUCUCGGAAUCAUAGCUGUUAACCACAACACUGCUGUUCCCUGCAACAAGAGGACAUUGACGUGUUAAAAGUCAGAUUCCCUUGGAUGCUACACACUCUCCACAAUAUCCAGCUAUAUCAGAACGUUGUGUGUUAGGAUUACCUGAGAAAGACUAUGGUGAAGUGGUGUGUGCAAUUGUUUUUCCUGACUCUAGCUGAGUUCAGAAGAAAACAAGCUGAGGAAUUGAAGCCUGCACUAAGCUUGUCCCUUAUAAGGUAUUUCUCCUUGUUUUGUGAAUUAAUUUGACACAAAAUAUUUAUGCAAGAACUAACUAACUUCAUGCAAAAUAGUUAAUUUUAUGAAAUAAACACUUUAUACAUAUAUAUAUAUGUCUGUAAGGCAGCAUCAAGUUUGCGACAUAUUUUAGCUUCAACUUAAAAGUUGUUACUUUCUCUUAUAUAUGUUUUGAUUUAAUCUUUAUAGUACAAAGAAAGUCGAAUAAUAUAUGUACAUUCUAAUUUAUUAUUUACAAUACAAACA